GGGUUGUGAGGUUAAGCGACUAAGCGUACACGGUGGAUGCCCUGGCAGUCAGAGGCGAUGAAGGACGUGCUAAUCUGCGAUAAGCGCCGGUAAGGUGAUAUGAACCGUUAUAACCGGCGAUUUCCGAAUGGGGAAACCCAGUGUGACUCGUCACACUAUCAUUAACUGAAUCCAUAGGUUAAUGAGGCGAACCGGGGGAACUGAAACAUCUAAGUACCCCGAGGAAAAGAAAUCAACCGAGAUUCCCCCAGUAGCGGCGAGCGAACGGGGAGGAGCCCAGAGCCUGAAUCAGCAUGUGUGUUAGUGGAAGCGUCUGGAAAGGCGCGCGAUACAGGGUGACAGCCCCGUACACAAAAGCGCAUAUGCUGUGAGCUCGAUGAGUAGGGCGGGACACGUGGUAUCCUGUCUGAAUAUGGGGGGACCAUCCUCCAAGGCUAAAUACUCCUGACUGACCGAUAGUGAACCAGUACCGUGAGGGAAAGGCGAAAAGAACCCCGGCGAGGGGAGUGAAAAAGAACCUGAAACCGUGUACGUACAAGCAGUGGGAGCCUCUUUUAUGG
rnacentral:rRNA from 3 species